GACGAACGCUGGCGGCGUGCUUAACACAUGCAAGUCGAACGGAAAGGCCCUGCUUUUGUGGGGUGCUCGAGUGGCGAACGGGUGAGUAACACGUGAGUAACCUGCCCUUGACUUUGGGAUAACUUCAGGAAACUGGGGCUCAUACCGGAUAGGAGCUCCUGCUGCAUGGUGGGGGUUGGAAAGUUUCGGCGGUUGGGGAUGGACUUGCGGCUUAUCAGCUUGUUGGUGGGGUAGUGGCUUACCAAGGCUUUGACGGGUAGCCGGCCUGAGAGGGUGACCGGCCACAUUGGGACUGAGAUACGGCCCAGACUCCUACGGGAGGCAGCAGUGGGGAAUAUUGCACAAUGGGCGGAAGCCUGAUGCAGCAACGCCGCGUGCGGGAUGACGGCCUUCGGGUUGUAAACCGCUUUCGCCUGUGACGAAGCGUGAGUGACGGUAAUGGGUAAAGAAGCACCGGCUAACUACGUG
rnacentral:rRNA from 1 species